rnacentral:rRNA from 1 species
UACGGGGGGGGGCAAGCGUUGUUCGGAAUUACUGGGCGUAAAGGGCUCGUAGGCGGCCAACUAAGUCGGACGUGAAAUCCCCAGGCUCAACCUGGGAACUGCGUCCGAUACUGGAUGGCUUGAAUCCGGGAGAGGGAUGCAGAAUUCCAGGUGUAGCGGUGAAAUGCGUAGAUAUCUGGAGGAAUACCGGUGGCGAAGGCGGCAUCCUGGACCGGCAUUGACGCUGAGGAGCGAAAGCCAGGGGGAGCAAACGGG